GCACUGGCCGUGCUGCGGCACCCCCGAGGGUCGUCCUUGCUCAGCCCGGCCUGCCUGGCCGGCCUCGGCAACCGCAGCGCAAGGGACAGCCUCAGCGGGGUGUGGGCAUUGCCGAGGUCUCGCUUGGGGCCGUGUCUGCAGGCGCUGUGCCGGCUGCGGGCGGCCUGCGCGCCGGUCUUUGCUUUCCUUGGCUCCUUUGCUGGAUGUGGCUGUCCCAGCAGCUGAGCUUUAGAAGUGAAGCUAAACGGCGGUUCGGCUUGGACAUUAGAGGAAUUUAAUCACAGAAAGCGUGCCUAGACAUUGGAAUGGGCUGCCCGGGGAGGUGCUGGAGUCAUCAUCCGGGAGGUCUUCAAGGGACGACGAUGUGGCGCUCAGUGCCACGGUCUGGUUGUCAAAGCUGUGUUCGAAGGUUGGACACAGAGGUCCUUUCCAGCCUAAUGGAUUCAGUGAUUUUGUGAAGGGGAUAUAUGUCUAAUCCUAAAGUGGCAUAAGGAAUAAUGAGAUGCAUGGAUAUCAGUCCCAGCUACAGACUAUUAUUAUCAGUCCCAUUAAAGCAGCCUGACUGUCAGAAUAGUUUUAAAAGUAGAACCAUGUUCAUAAAAAACACUAGGAAGACAUUACUCUUCACAUUUCACCUAACAUUUAAUCUUUGCAGUGCUUAGGCUUUUCAUGCAUGCAUGGUAUGAGAAAUUAAGUUCCAGUGACGUAUUCUGUUCUAAGUAUUUUUAGAUGACUAAAUCAACCAGCUGGAAUUUAUUAGCUGAAUAAGAAUAGUUAAUCAUAACCUGCAGAUUUUGAUACAGAUAAGAUACUCUCUAACCCUUUCUCCAGCUGACCAUUUGUCAUUUUUUUACCUUUCAUGGAGCCCUACAUGGAGUAUGCAUGUAACUUGAGUAUAUAGCAAGUACCCUAUUUAUUGGCAAAUAUGCACAGUAAAUGGCUGGGACAAAUAGGUUUCUGCUGAAUAUUAACAUGCUCACCUCACACUUCUCCCUCCCUUGAAAUGACACAAGGCUGGCAGUGGUCAGUUGCAUGGGGAACUAUCUGGCUUAGUUGCUUCUAAAAUAGGCCAAUCCUCAUUGUUACAGUUUCUGUCUUCCAGUUUUUUACAUCAGAAUUUUCUACCCAUUCUCUUUGAUGUUUUCCUCAUUGCUCCUUGAAUUAGUCUUAUGGAUGUAACUAUUUCAAUUUAUUGGUUUCUUUUAUUUCUUCUCAUUCAAUUUCAUGUCAUUAUACUUCCUAUUUAGUCUGUUUCACUUUUUUUUCUCUGUUUUCAAGACUUCAUUUCUUUUCAUAAAACAAAAUUCUUCAUUUCCUCAAAGGAAAUGCAAUUCUUCAUUUCCUGAAAGGACAUCUUGCCAUUUCAAUGACGAUCAAUUUGGAAAGGUGUGGUCCAUUUCCCUGCACUUCAUGUCAUCCCAUGCCAUUUGAUUGUUUUCCCUUUGUUGCAGACUUUUUUUUUCUUUAAGCAUUUCAUUUCAUCAAUUUUUUCUCCUUUUUAUUUUAUUUCAUUCCCUGAUUUUGGGACUUUAGUAUAAUUUUGGUAAUUUUUGGUCCUUUUCACUGCACCUCAUUUCAUCCCAAUUGAUUUGGUUGGAGUCACUCAAUUCCCAAAUUUUCUUUUUUUUUCAAUUGCAUUUUUUUAAUCGUAUCAUAUUUCCCUUCCAGAGUGUUUGUUGCACUUCCUUCUCUGUUUUCAAGAUUUCAUUGUUGAAAUUUCUGAACCAAAGUGAAAAAAUUAACAGGGAUGACAUGAAGCGCAGGGAAAUGGACCAAACCUUGCUGAAUUUGUACUGUUUCAAAUUGCAAAAUUUCAUUUCCUUUCACAAAAUGAAGAUUUUCCUUUUGUGAAAAGAAAUGAAAUUCAGAGAAAAAAGUGAACCAAAUGGACUAGGGCAGGGUUUUAAUGGCAAGAAAUUCAAUGGUCAAAAAUAAAGAAAACUCUGAAAUAAAGCUGUUGUCAUCAAGUGUAGGGAGAUUACAUGAAUGCUCCCAUUUGCCUUUUGUAGUUGCAAUGUCGCUGAAGUUCUAGGCUUUGUGGUUGCUGUGUCCCUGGAGUAGUAUACAGCUUUUACUGAUGCAUCUAUCCAUAUAUAUGUUAUUUAAGAAAACUAAAUCCAAGAGUUGUAACUUCCUAUAUUAUCGGGAUCAGGUCUGAAAAAGCUAGAACUGAUUUAAGUCAGUAAUUCUUUACUCAUGUCUGAAUUCCUUCUUCCAAGUUCCAAUUGUAAUAUUUCUGUUUUACUGUAUUUAAUAUAUUACUAAUAAUGAAGAAUGAAUCUUUGUCCUUAGUAGUUUCACUGAUUCCAUUGACACAGUUUUAGUCACAUGGGUCAACAAACUCAGUCUUAAUUUUCUGGAGUGUAAGUGAUUCUUCCAGGACAUAUCUGGAAAUUACUCGUUGUUUUAAUAAAACUAAAGGAACCAGUUUUAUUUAUAUAAAAACAUAGAUGCUGUAACUGGGACAUAUGUGAAGAAAAGGCAAAAUCCGUUAGAAAUGCACCAGAACUACAAGUUCAGAUUUGUCUUAUUUAUAUGUGACAAUAAACUGAAAGUAACAGUUAAAUGAGAAAUGCAAUUAUUUUAAAGAUGAUGGAAUAAAGUGUUUUGGCAAGGAAGAGUUUUGGUCUGUCUUUAUAAAUUGCAAAUUUAAAUGUGUUUGUUUACAAGCCCUACAAAUCAUUACAGGGGCAUUGACUUGGUUAUACUAAACCCACCAUUAACCCAGCUGAUCAUGCAGUACCCAGCUUGGGAGAAAUUCUGCACUGGCACAGCCUCUUGGUAAUUAAUGGCUCCAGGUGGUCAGGGAAUAAUAGGAUGUGUAUGACUUUGUUACUAACCCUAGAUGUCAAAAUGUGGGGUUUUUUUGGUGGUAUAUAUAUUAUUUGCAAUAUAAUUUUGUGGUAUAUAUAUUAUAAGCAAAUAUAUAUUGCUUAUUGACUGUUUAUUGAAUGUGAUUGUAUUAUACAAGUCAAAGUCUUUUUAAAAAGCCCUCUGCUUUUUUCAUAAAAAAUAUUUGAGUAUUAAAGCACAUGUAAGUGAUGGUGGCUUGAAAUUUCACUCAAGGCAAUUUAAACCAAAUUGCAGUUGUAGAAAGGAACUAAGUUUUACCCCAAAAUAGCUUGUGAUCUAAUACAAAGUAAUUCUAAGUUACAGCUCAUCCUGCAUUUUUCAUCACCACCAUCCUCCAUCUGUGCAUUACUUGUGUUGUUAUAAAUUUGGCAACACUUCAGCAGUGAGCUACUGUUUAUAACAAGAGAUCCCAGCAGCUAAAAGAAGCCGUUCAUUGGGAUUACUCAUAACUUGCCUUGUGAACUGCUCAAGGGAAUUUCUUGAAGAACUGUGUCAAAAUCAGCUUUAGAAACUAUUAAUUUGAGAGAUUUUAUCGACACAUAAGAAAUGUUCUGAGAUUAUUGCUGGUCAAGUUGGUAGGCUUGCAAGGAAGAUUCCUUUUGUUGGCACUGAGAGAAAAUUUUCUGAUUUUGUGCACGGAAACGAGGAUAAAAUAAGCUUUUUUCCUCUCUGCAAAAAGAAAUCUGACGCAGUGGGAACUCAAUCACCCGGAUACCAUGAAUGCUUGCAGAAGGAUACAUUCUCUCCGUGCUCACAGACAGAAAACUAAUGGAAACAGAAGUGAGAACUGGCACAGCACCUCUGGGUUCAAGCACCAGCAUGGAGAUGAUCUUGUUACAAUCCACACCCUUUACACAGUGAUCAUCAUGAUCCUUCUAGGGGCACUAUGGGGAGCCUGGUCAAGAAAGGAUUCGUCCUUAUAGCAGCAAUAAGCAACUUUCUUUGUCAAAUAUUUAAAGAGAUAGUUGUGUCAGUUAUCCAUAUUCAAGGGGUACAAAAAAAAAAAAAUGGUCUCAGUGUAUUUCAGUUUACUUGAAACUGCUUAAAUGGUUGCUACUUGUGGAAUGAAUCUAUGAAGCAUUUACAAGCCAUGUAUGGAACAUAAUUUUGUGAAUAACAGAGACCUGUUUGACCUGUACAUAUUUAUAUUACCCUCAGCAUGUAUAUGAAACUUUAAGCACAAUAUUCGAGAGAGUUCAACUUCUGUUUUAUUGGUCAAUAUUUUGUAUGUCCAUCCAAGCUUUCCAUUUGUGAACUUUCUUAGUCUCUACCUCUGCUAAGUUUGCCUGUGCAAAUCCAUGGUAAAACAUACACUGUAAGCAGGGAAAUAAUGUGCCAUGUCACAACAACAUAAGAAAAAACAAUCAACAAACCCAGCUAUUCUGCUGGCAAAGGAAGAUCACUGAAAAAGUUGAAUUCUCCACCUCUGUUGCUGAAGAGAGUUUAUAUGGGACUUGCAUCCAUUAAUUUUAACUUAUAGUAAUGACUUUGUAAACUCAGAAAUAAAACAAUGAAAUUA